rnacentral:lncRNA from 10 species
GCGUUUCCCCUCCUUGUGCUUUUCUCUCGUGUGCCAUGUGAAGAACCUUGCUUCCUCUUUGCCUUCCACCAUGAUGGCUUCCGAGGUGACUGGGCAGCGUCAGUCUUCAGCCGCUAAGCCGAGAAGGAGUCAGUCAGAGAGCCUUGGGCCAGAGUUCCAGGGGCUCUGGGAGUGUCUGCCAGACUCUUACCAGUUGUUUUAAUUGCUAAGACAACCCAGUUCUGCAUGAGCUACAGCCAACUUCACAAAAGCAUUUGCCACAAGAUCAAUUGCCAUAUACCAGAAGAUAGAGGCUGUGGAUCUUCUCUAGUGAUGACACAUUUAGCAUGGCAUCACAUCAGUACUCUCUCUCAACCGUGGGUUCUCAAGUGUUGAAACUCUAACCGGGAAUUACACCAUUGGUGGUUUUGAGGUCUUAGGAUUCAGACUGAAUUACAUCACUGACCUUCCUGGUUGCUCAGCUGACAGACAGCAGAUGACUCUUCAGAGGUUCCUGCUGGGCCUCCCACUGCUCCAGUGCUUUUGAUGAAGCUAGACUAUUCCCUGCAGCAGUUCCUUUUCCCAUGUUUUGGCCUCUGAGGAUCAACAGUACAGCUCUAUCUUCUUUUUGAUGAGAUCUUUAGUCUCUCUUGCUUCAGGUGCCUGGAUGUUGAGGGGCAAAUAGGACUGUUCACUGAAGGAGCUAGAGAAUGGAAGAGAAGGUUGUGUCAGAUAGAAAUAACAGAAGCUUUCUGAAAUGAAAACAGAAAUGUUACAACUUGCACCACAGUACUGGACUGAAACGAAGAUGUAACACAGCCAUAAUAAUUUAAAUUAAUAGCAAAUAAAUAAAGAAAAAAAGAACUUCAUUGUGAGGACCAUAGUCAUGGGAUAGCUCUGUCUUUUCGGGGAAAGUGGAGUAGAGGGACAGAGUCACCCCAGGAGAAAAAAUGCUUAAAUUAAGACUCCCUGAGAGACUGAAUAAGAGUAUGAUUAGUUCAGCCUUGCUUUCAUCCUCCACUUCCCCCUCCCACUGUAGACUUCAGUUUUAAUAAUGAUUAAAGAAUAAUGCCUGAAUCCC